AAAUUUUGAAGAGAAAUUAAGGAUUUCAUCUAAGUUGGUUGUGGAAAAAAUUGAAAGAUUUGUGAGAAAAAAACUUAGUUGCCUAGAAAGAAAAAACUGAAGAGGAGCUAAAAUGAAGAAAUCAAAAUUUAUUUAGAAACAAGUCAAAAUUUAUGAGUUGGAAAAACAGUGGCUUUAAACGAUGGCUGGUAACAACCGUUAUUUUACAUUCAUAAUGGUUUUUAAGGAUGUGAUUAACUUGUCACUAGGACUCUCUCUCGUUUGAACUAGAGAGAAACUCUCUUUUAUCUGAACUUCGGUUCUUCCUCUGCAGCUUCAUCCGCCUGUUACUGUCGCUUCCGUGCGUCCCUUCCUUUGUCCAAGGAGUGGGUUUCUUCCUCUCCCCAUUUGAAUAGGGUAAUAUGCGUAAAUAAAUUUCUUAUUUCUUUUUGGAGCAAAUUUGUAGUUAAAUGAGAUUUUGUAUUGAUCUACUCAUUUUGGUUUGUUGUGGUUAGUUAUUAUUUGUUUUCGAUUGUGCAUGCAGGAUCCGUCGCUUCAUCGGCUCGUUUCUAGCUCCAUUUUGCCCCUGCUUGCACCAAGGAGAGAAAGAUCUUCCCUCGAGUGGGACUUUCUUCUUCCUUUAGAGUUUUCUCUGUGGCUCAUUUGUUAGUGCUCCAUCUUGUUUUCUUCGAUUUAUUUUGGUUGGGGGAAGGCUCCAUGCUUUAGUUGCCAAGUCACUCUAGGUUCCGAUACAACCUUCUUGCUAUAGGCAGUGAAUCCUCAAGGCGUUGAAGCCGUCAAAGAGCCCUGCUUGAUCUUCUCCUUCGCUUAGCACAAAUUGAGUCUAGGGCGGUACUUCUGCAUUUGGCUACUGGGUUUUUGUUGAGUUGAGUUCCUUCUGUGUUGCUUUUGGUUAUCCUUGCUUCUUAAGUUUGAAAACUAUCAAUCGGUGUUAACUUGGUGAGCUUCCGACAACUGUCUCGGCGGCGACAAAAUGAAAGUUUUCUCCGCUCAGUAUAGUGUUUCCCUGUUGUGGGCUUGAACUUAUAGGUCCAGGGCUGCUUUAGUGUGAGCUUAAUCCUAUUUUUUUGUAUAUGUUAAGGCCUUAACAGUUCUUUAAGCCUUGUAUUCUUCACGAGUCUUGUGCCUUUUAAUAAAAUUCUUUAUGAUCUACA
rnacentral:lncRNA from 1 species